rnacentral:lncRNA from 1 species
UCACACCUCCCACCUCCUUAUGCAUCCGCCAGAGCCACCGCCUCCCUUCCUCCACAAGCGCCGUGGCGGGAGACGGCGAGAGCCGAGAGCGCCUGGAGAUUAGGGUUCGCCGCCCUUCCGCCGAAGUACCCAAGGUAGCUUGUGUGGAUCUCCCGUCGUCCUAGCCUCCUAGAUCCAGCCACCUUUGCCACGUCCUGGAGACUCCCCCAAGCCUCCUGUUCUCCUCCGAUCUGACUGCUGCCAGGUAAAAACUAAAAGACGAUUUUCAAUUGAACAUCUAUCUAGAAACAUUAAAGUAAUCAAACUGGAGCACAAAUUAACCAACGUUUUGCCCUGAAUUUAACUGAUUUUUUUAUUUAGUGGUCUUGGUUGUUUAUGCAAUCCAAUUAAAUGUUUUACGUGAAGUGUAAACAAUGUAAAGAUCUUGCUUCGCUGGUUAAUCUUGAUUGUCAGUUGUGACUACAUAAAAAGAAUCAAGGACAUGAAACACGCCCUUCUUCUGUGCAUAGCCUUUAUUGUGUGCAUGCAUUAAACAACAUAUCAUACGCGGCUAGAUGAUUGAUGAUUUGUUGUGUAUUUACUCAUUUCUUCUGUCACGGUCUUGUCUUUUUUAUAUAUAAAGAAAAGAAUGUGCUUGCCUCAUUUUCAGUAGCAUACAUAGUCCAAAUGAAAAUUCUGCCUACAAAUUCUGCUCAGUUGUCAGCUAUUAGUUAUAUCUUUACUGUAUUGUGUCCCAUUAUUGAAAUGAAAUCUGAAAUGCACCUCCUUGUUUGUCUUGAGCAGAGCAUUUAUAGUAUCAUAGCUUGGGAAGAAAAUUGCAUGCUAAGAAGUUUAAUGCAGUUGAUUUUGUGAUUGUUGAUUGCAUGUCAAGGGGUGAAAUCUGAAGUGUUGUGCACGCUGUCUGAAAAACAAAAAUGAACAUCAGAAAGUUACUGAUUAAUCUUCAACUAUUAGCUGAAAAAAUCCUGUGAAAUAUGUCAUGAAAUUUUGUCGCAUUCCUUUGUUUCUUUGUGCUUUCAAGUUCCUUUUGUCCCAAAAUAGAUUUUAGCUCACUUUUACUUUACAUAAAUUUUAAGUCAGUUGUUUUAGCAGUAGGAAUCAACCAAGUGCAUUCUUUCCAUUGUCUGCAGUUAAAAAAUUCAUAAUAUACUUGGGAAUUUGCAUAACUUACAUUUUACACACUAGACUAUUGUGGCUGAGUUCAGAAUUUCAGGUGGUGAGCAAUUCUCUUUACAUGCUCGUCACUGAGUUAUUAAUUUAUCUUCUCAGGUUUAACUUUACCGAAAUUUACUAGGACCAUAUACUGUUUUGCUCUGCUCUGCUCUGCUCUAAUAAAAGGAAAGAAAAUACAAGCUAUCAGCAGGCAGCUUCUGUAUGUGGUAGAAGAAUCAUCAUAUGCCAUCAUCUUUGUUAUUGUUAUUUAUAGAUCGGGCUGUUUUCUUUAGGUAUGUCACCGCUUGUUUUUGGUAUUUAUUCGCUUAUUAAUGGUCUGGGUCUCAUCAUGUAACAAUAUGGUUGUUUUGGGGGUGCACAUCAUGUCUGCCAUAUAUGAUCUUGAUUAGUUUCCUUAGACUAGCAAAGAAAAUUAAAUGUUUUUAAUUUUUCAUAGCAUUGUUCUUAACACAAUUAGUUCUCAGGUUUUGAGCUUUGGUGCAUAGAGCUGUGCUUAUAUCUCAUCAACUUCUCACUCUUUAAUUUCUCUAUUCAUUGAAUUAAAAAGCAUAGUAUUGCCUUUUAAUCUUUUCAGGUCUGGCUCAUAGGUUAUCACUUUUAUACUCUUGCGGGUAAUGGAUACUAAUGUUUGGUGAAGAAAUGGUACAAAUUAAAGUUAGGAAUUUUUUGCAACUUUGCAGUGACCCUCACCCUCUUCCGUCCUUCAACUUGUGGACAAAUUCAACUUGUGGACAAAUUAGAUUUUGCCUCUAAAAACUAACUUGUUCAGUUAGUGUUUAUUGGUUUCAGUUCAAUCUUUAUGCUGAAGAGUAAGAAGAAAAACAUGUUGAAUUGGUGAAAUGAAAGAGAUGAGUAAUGCAGAAAUUGUAAAUUUCAGACAAGGAUUUCACUCUGAAUUUCUGAUCUUCAUGCAUUCGCAUCAUAUGAAGCCUGAUAUUGUGCUGCACUUGUUUUGAUCUUGAGCUGUAGGACUGCAACUGCAAUACAAACAAGCUGUUUCACAGUCUCUUAGAUAGUCAACUUGCAAUUGAUCAGCCAUUCAACCAACCGUGGCUCCUGAAUUUCCGAUAGUUAUAUUCUCUCCAAUACCCUUCCUAAGCCAGGGGGAGAAACCACCGUGAGCCAAACGAGCCCUGUGUAGGUUUCAUCCCCACACAGUCACCCUCUCUCCUCCCUUCCCCAAAACCACCCCAAAUGGAAGGGGGUUUUGUUGGCAUUGUGUUGUAGAUCGAUUGGAAAGGUAAACCCCUAGGGAGAACACUAAUUUUGUCAAUUGGUUCGCAUGGAUGAUUGAUAUGCGAUGGUGAGAAUUUAUUAACCUUUUCAAAACCCUAAUUUACGUAAUGUUUUACAUUUUCGUUAUUGAUUUGGUUCUUGCCGUGAUUUGGGGAAUAUGGCUGGCGAUGUUUUGUCAACCGAAAGUAUAUAUGUUAUACUGUUUAUUUUUAGUUCGGAGUUGAACCGAUGGUUUGAUGAAAAAGUGAUUUAGGUUAAAUUGCAAUAUAUGUAGCAACAAAAUUAUUUGUAAUUUUAUGAUGGUUAGGAAAGACUAUGUCGACUAUUCUUUGGAACAACUACCACCACCGAGUGUAAAACACCCAAUGUGUUGGUGUGGGAUGAUUAUUGUUUUUAGAUCAGUCAUGACCGGGAUACUUCUGUGCUGAGGUACUGGAUGUGCCGCAACUAUGCGUACAGUCCUAAGAAACAUAAUCCUAUGCCUAAGGGAAAGAAGGGGAGGGCAAAAAUGGCAGUGAAGGUAAUGUUGUUUAAUAUUAUUGUUUUGUCUUGAAUAUUUGCAACUUUGUCGUCAAGAUAUAAUCUAUGAUGUAAUGUGUAGUAAACUGGGAUCCCGCCUUCUCGUUGUGACUUUAUCGAGUGGAUUGAUAAGGAGAUGGAUGUGUUCCAUACCAGAAUGAUUCACUAAUGGCGCGAGUGGAAGAAAGAACAUGAGGAGCGCCAACGCUAGGGAGUUGGAGCUAAUGAAGUUGACAAGACAUAAUAGGGAGAUGGAAGAAUGAGCUCAAGAUCAAACAAGGAAGUUGGCUAGGGCGCAACUUGCAAAUGAUGCGGACUUGAAAGCGGCAAGGAAGGGCAAGUACUCGUGGUGCACCCAGCACUGCAAUGGAAGUUGUUACCCAAAUUUCAAUUCACUAAGACAUUCAAUAGCAAUAUUAUACGACGUUACACGCUGAACCGUGUGCGUGUAAUAUUGAUAGUUUGUUGCCUUUUGCAUUGACAACAAUGUGUUUCAUUGAAAUGUCUCCUUUCAGAUCUUCUGUUCGGUUUGAAUUCCUUAAGAUGUGAUAACGAAAGCAUCCACAACUGAGUAUCUAUCAAUAUCCAAUUCUAUUGUGUUAUAUUACGCCACA